GCAGUAGCCGCGGUAAUACGGAGGGUGCAAGCGUUAAUCGGAAUUACUGGGCGUAAAGCGCACGCAGGCGGUCUGACAAGUCAGAUGUGAAAUCCCCGGGCUUAACCUGGGAACUGCAUUUGAAACUGUCAGGCUGGAGUCUUGUAGAGGGGGGUAGAAUUCCAGGUGUAGCGGUGAAAUGCGUAGAGAUCUGGAGGAAUACCGGUGGCGAAGGCGGCCCCCUGGACAAAGACUGACGCUCAGGUGCGAAAGCGUGGGGAGCAAACAGGAUUAGAUACCCCGGUAGUCCCUGUCUCUUAUAC
rnacentral:rRNA from 1 species